UGGGAACGUGCCUUUUGGUUCGGAACAACCCAGGGAAACUUGGGCUAAUACCGGAUAAGCCCUUACGGGGAAAGAUUUAUCGCCAAAAGAUCGGCCCGCGUCUGAUUAGCUAGUUGGUGGGGUAAUGGCCCACCAAGGCUACGAUCAGUAGCUGGUCUGAGAGGAUGAUCAGCCACAUUGGGACUGAGACACGGUCCAAACUCCUACGGGAGGCAG
rnacentral:rRNA from 1 species